rnacentral:rRNA from 1 species
AGCAUGCAAGUCAAACGGGAUGUAGCAAUACAUCUAGUGGCGAACGGGUGAGUAACGCGUGGAUGAUCUACCUACGAGAUGGGGAUAACUAUUAGAAAUAGUAGCUAAUACCGAAUAAAGUCAAUUAAUUUGUUAAUUGAUGAAAGGAAGCCUUUAAAGCUUCGCUUGUAGAUGAGUCUGCGUCUUAUUAGUUAGUUGGUAGGGUAAAUGCCUACCAAGGCGAUGAUAAGUAACCGGCCUGAGAGGGUGAACGGUCACACUGGAACUGAGAUACGGUCCAGACUCCUACGGGAGGCAGCAGCUAAGAAUCUUCCGCAAUGGGCGAAAGCCUGACGGAGCGACACUGCGUGAAUGAAGAAGGUCGAAAGAUUGUAAAAUUCUUUUAUAAAUGAGGAAUAAGCUUUGUAGGAAAUGACGAAGUGAUGACGUUAGUUUAUGAAUAAGCCCCGGCUAAUUACGUGCCAGCAGCCGCGGUAAUACG